rnacentral:rRNA from 1 species
CACGUAGGGUGCGAGCGUUGUCCGGAAUUAUUGGGCGUAAAGAGCUCGUAGGCGGUGUGUCGCGUCGGCCGUGAAAACCUGCAGCUUAACUGUGGGCUUGCGGUCGAUACGGGCAGGCUAGAGUUCGGUAGGGGAGACUGGAAUUCCUGGUGUAGCGGUGAAAUGCGCAGAUAUCAGGAGGAACACCGGUGGCGAAGGCGGGUCUCUGGGCCGGUACUGACGCUGAGGCGCGAAAGCGUGGGGAGCGAACAGG